rnacentral:rRNA from 1 species
GAGUUUGAUCAUGGCUCAGAAUCAACGCUGGCGGCGUGCCUGACACAUGCAAGUCGAACGAGAAAGGGUAGCAAUACCUGAGUACAGUGGCGCACGGAUGAGUAACACGUGACUAACCUACCCUGGAGUGGGGGAUAACUGGGAGAAAUCCUAGCUAAUACCGCAUAAUACCUACGGGUCAAAGGAGCAAUUCGCUCUGGGAGGGGGUCGCGGCCGAUUAGUUAGUUGGCGGGGUAAUGGCCCACCAAGACGAUGAUCGGUAUCCGGCCUGAGAGGGCGCACGGACACACUGGAACUGAAACACGGUCCAGACUCCUACGGGAGGCAGCAGUGGGGAAUUUUGCGCAAUGGGGGAAACCCUGACGCAGCAACGCCGCGUGGAGGAUGAAGUCCUUCGGGACGUAAACUCCUUUCGAUCGGGACGAUUAUGACGGUACCGGGAGAAGAAGCCCCGGCUAACUUCGUGCCAGCAGCCGCGGUAAUACG